CCUUCGCCCCCGCAUUCAGGUAUCCCGGCGUAACGCCCGGGAAGUAAAAGGGAAUCCGGUGUAAAUCCGGAGCUGUCCCCGCAGCUGUAAGCUUCGUAAUGUUUCGCGCCACUACGCCACUGGAGAGAUCUGGGAAGGCCGCCCGAAAUGAAGUGAGCCAGAAGACCUGCCCGAACGCACCAUAUGUU
rnacentral:ncRNA from 2 species